ensembl:lncRNA
AAAAAGAGCCUAGCUUGAUAACUGCCAUUUUAGAUUUCUAUAAGCACUGAUAAGAUUCCCUCUCAUUCUCCUUUAGGCUCAACAGUCACAGGUCUCUCAGCCUUUCCUCAUACAAGAGAUAUUCCAGGCCCCUAACCAUCACUGUAGCCCUCCCCUAUACUCUCUCCAGUAGUUCCUGUCUUUCUUGAACUGGAGAGACCAGAACUGGACACAGUAUCUCAGAUGUGUCUUACCAAGGCAGGGCAGAGCAGAGGGGGAGGAUAACGUCCCUCGACCUGCUGACCUCACUCUUUUUAAUGCACUCCAGGAUCCCAUUGGCCUUCUUGCCCACAAGGGCGCACUGCUGGCUCAUGGCCAACCUGUUGUUCACCAGGACACCACAAGUCCUUCUCUGCAGAGCUCCUUUCCAGCAGGUCAUCCCCUAACCUGUACUAAUGUGUGCAGUUAUUCCUCCCCAGGUACAAGACUCUGUGCUUUCUCUCGUUGAAGCUCAUCAGGUUAAUCUCUGCUCAACUCUCCAGCCUGUUCAGGUCUUGAUGGUCAGCAGCACAGCCUGGUGUGUCAGCCACUCCUCCCAGCUUCUUAUCCUCAGCAAACUUGCUGAGGGUGCACUCUAUCACUUCAUUCAGGUCAUUGGUGAAGAUGUUGAACAAGAAUGGACCCAGUACCUACCCCUGGGGAACACAGCUAGCUACAGACCUCCAAGUGAACUCCGUGUCACUGAUCACAACACUCUGUGUUGUGCCAGUUCUUAGUCCACCUCACUGUUCACUCAUCUAUCUCACACUUCUUUAGCUUACCUACGAGGAUGUUACAACAUAGAAGGCUACCAUAUUGGUCAAGCAUGAUUUCCCCUUGUUGUAUCCAUGUUGACUAUUCCUGAUAACCUUCUUUUCUUCCACUUGCUUGGAGAUUACAUCCAGGAUAAGUUAUUCCUUCAUCUUUCCUGGGACGGAGUUGAGGCUGUCUGGUCUGCAAUUUCCUGGGUUCUCUUUCUUGCCCUUAUUGAAGACUGGAGUGACAUCGGUUUUCCUUCAGUCUUCAGGCACCUCUCAUGUUCUCCAUGACCUUCCAAAGAUGAUAGAGAGUAGCUUGGCAAUCACUUCUGCCAGCUCUCCCAGCAUCCCAUCAGAGUGCAUGGAUUUGUGUGUGUUGAGUUUGCCUAGAUGAUCUCUAACUAGAUCUUCCUCAAUCAAGGGGAAGUCCUUCCUUCAUACUCUCUCUCUUACAUCCAGAGUCUGGGAUUCCCGAGGGCCAGUCUUAGUUUUAAAGAUUGAAGCAAAGAAGGCAUUUAGUAAAUCUGCCUUCUCAAUGUUCUCCAUUACCAUGGCACCCACCUCAUUCAACAGCAGGCCCACAUUUUCCAUAGUCUUCCUUUUGAUAUACUUCCUGUUGAUAUACUUAAAGAAGUCCUUCUUGCUGUCCUUGACAGAUUUAAUUCCAAGUUGGCCUUAGCCUUUCUGGCUAAGAGCUGAAUGACCAGUGUGUGAGGAAAGGAUUUCUUCACACAAAUGCCUUUCUCCCCACUUCUUACUGCAGUCUUGGUCUCCUGAGAGAACUUAGGUUUAAACAUUGAAUCACAAAAUGGCUUGGGUUGGAAAGGGACCCCAAAGAUCAUCAAGUUCCAGUCCCUCUGUCACAGGCAGGGCCACCAACCUUCUCUUGGUAAAGCCAUGCUGGCUGUCUUGGAUCACCUGCUCAUUCCUCAUGUGCUUUAACAUGUCUUCUAGGAGGAAGAACAUUUGGUGCUGAAAGCUAUGGGGAAAUCUGAGUCUCCCACUCAGACAUUUAAGUGUUUGCAUAAAUGUCCUUCUAAUGUCUUCUGUUAAGCCCCAAAGUAAUACUAAGAAUUACUUGAGAUAUUUUGUCAUCCACAGCCUUUUAGUUGAAAGCCUUAGAGGUAUUAUAGCCCAGGUCUUUAUAUCUCAAUGACAGUUCUUCAUCCACCUGAGACAGUGGCUCUCGAAGAGCUAGAGCUGCAUGCUUAGCCGCCACUCUAAUGCAAGAGGUUGCAUUUGGCAAAGGCACAAUUUGUUUCUAAAAUUGUCUCCAAGAUCCCUUGUAUGCAUUUGUAUCUCCCAGACUACUAGCCAGCUGGUAUUUUACAUAGUGUAAUUGUUUGUUUAGCUAAUGAAGUGGGAAAAAACAAAGAGCUGAGAUCCUGAGUAGCCCUGAGAGAGAGGAGGAGGAGGAACAUAGCCGCCAGGGUGUUGAACUGCAGCCCUAAGGGAUAGUUUUGAUUCCUGACUCAAGAGAGUCAUGGUUGAAAUGCAGAAAAAGAUGCCUCAGCACAAAAAGAGGAGGAAGAUGCUGGGAGCUGCCUGCUUUUCCUGUUUAUCUCAUUGGGAGGAACUACUGCAAUGAUGUGUGAUGGAGAACAGCUUUUGUCUGCUGAUGCUUACUCAGAGCAGGCAUGAUCUACUUCUGCAAACAUUUCCACUCUUCCUUCUGGAAGGAAAGAACAUGCUCACAGAAGUGUGGUUUCCCUUCCUUGUGGCCUUUGCCCUACCAUUUAAUGAAAGGCUGUUCCUUUAGUUGUUUUUCUGAUGCUGAAGGAUCUAGUGUGAAGCUCCUGCCUGGAGGAGCUUUGCUGGUGAGCAGAAAGCACAAGGAAAACAAUAAAAUGUCUUCCUGCAUCCCCCACCCUCUUUAAUUUUCUGGUUUGACUUCAAAUGCAGGCUACCAUCAUUUCCACAUGGAACAGCCACAUGAAAAGCACCGCUAAACAGUUCUGAGUUUCCCAGCAAGAAUCACAGCAGCUAAAUAUAUUUAAUCUGUGGGUAUUGUUCAUGUUGGCUUUAAUUUCCUGUUCUCAAAAGGUUUAGGAAUUUAAACCCCUGAGUCAUUACUGAAGCCGUUAAUGCUUGAAGCCUUUUUCAGAAAUGAAGAUAAAGGAAGUGAUAUUAAUACCAGCUUAGCAUGAAUUGAGCCAGAAUAGCUCUGUGAGAAAUUCAUUGCCAUCCCAGAGACAUCACUUAGUUUCUAACCAUGACGAAAGCUGCCCAGAAGCAGGUAGGUGGAUGAGGUCAUUCUCCCUGAGGUGAAUAAGAUGCUUCUCAUUUAAAACUAAAAAAAAAACCAAAAGUCUCUCUGGCAAGUUAUGGGCUGCAACAUCCCCAUCUGGAAACUUCUAGAGCACUCUACUCUUCUUUUGUUUCUAAAAAUUGCAGUAUCUUUCUAAGCAGUGAUUUCUCAGAGUUUAUUUGUGAGAUUUCCCUGGAGCUGGAGGUGAUAUACUCACUCAUGCUGAAUAAAAGAUUGGAAGAAAACUUUCCCUUCGUUCAAUGUAGUUAGGUCUUCAGGUUCGUGCUUCUGUACUUGCAGAUCUUGAUGCUUUCUCCCAAAGUCCUGAUGACAACAGGCACCUCAGAUGCAAGGUCCAGCCACAAGAUGCUUCAGUGGACGAUGUGGCUUCCAUUGCUAAGGAGACUGAACAGGAUUUAGGACAAAUCAAGUCCUUAAUCUUCUUUCAGGGGCCUGGUUUAGCUGCAAGACAGCAACAAGCUGCCUUUGACUCUAAGUGAACACUAAAGGCCAAAACAAAGUCCAGGGAAAUUUGAAUAGAUCCUAACAAAUGACUGUAGUUAGAAGUGAAAUGAAAACUUUGUGGGAACUGGUAUUUAUUUUCAUGUCAAUGUGGUUUUAUUUCUGGAAUGUGAUAGGAAGAGAAUAAUACAUAUUGGAAGAGGCUUCUGGAGGUCAUUUAGCCUAAUCCGCUUCUCACAACAGGGUCAACUGCUUUGAUGUAAAUGUUGAUGACCAUGACCGUGAAUAUGGAAGAAGCUGCCUCCACUGCUCUUCUUUGGAUUGUGCCUUUGGGUAGCACAGAAGCAGGGAAACUAUGAGGCAUCUUCAGAACCUAGGAGCUCCACAGAGAUGGAAAAGACUUGGAAGGAACAAACUUGGUCUUCUUAUCAAUCUUGAUUUAAUGAUAUGUGCUGUCUGUAAGUUGUGUUAUCUCCCUAUGUAAGACAGAUUUCACUAACUUUAUUAGGCAAACAUUGCUAAAGCAAACAGAAAAUAGCAGCAAUGCUGAGUGAAAUGAGAGAGCAAGUAGGAAUGGAUUUAAUUGCUGUGUCCCAAGCAGUGGUGAAAUGUUUAGCUGCUCAGACCAUGGAGGCACCUCUUUUACCACCCAGACAUGAUGCUGCCUUCAGGCUGAGCUCAAAGCAGGACAGAACAGAGCUUUAUCAAGAGGAAGAGAAAUAGAUGAGGUGGAGAACCAUUUUUAUGUUGAGUCCUUGCUGUCAUAUGAGAAUAUGGUGAAAGGAAGAAGGGGCCUGACACACAGCAGUGUGUUGUGGCAGCUCAGGUCCAUCAGGAAUGGCUGGAACAGCUUCCCAUCAGAAUUCAUGUCAGAGGUUUGGGAGAGAGCUUGAAGCAACCAUGCUGGAAGGGUAUCGUGGCCAGCUCUCCAGGCAGGUGUGCUCAGCAUGUGCUCAGAAAGGACUCCUGGCUCAGCCUGAUAGGAUAAGCAGGAGUGGAUGAGUUGCAUGGCUGCUGCUGCCUCUUGAGCAGUGCUCUCAUUUUACUUGAGGCCCUGUGAGGCUAUCUAGGGCAGUUUGGCUUCAUUCUGUAUUUGCAAAGCCCUGCAGCAUGCUUGUUCCUGUUGCGCUUGUUUUAAGGAAAGAGCCUUCUGUCCCCUUCUUGCCUCUAUUUUCCAUCAUCAAUUAGCUUGAGUCUCUGAGACUACAGCGCAUGACCACUUCUUUUCCUUUCACUCUGGAGCUAUUCCUGCUCUUGUAACAAGCUUUCACAGAGCCAGCAAGCAUCAGGAUGAGUCUGAGCCUCUGGGGCUGUCUCUCCAUCUGUUUGUUUAAUGACACGCAGCAGCCUCAUCUCUGACUUUGCACCCUCGGGACAAUAAUCCACUCCGAUGCUCAGGCCAGCCAGCUAUUCUGUGAUGAGGCUGUGGCUGGUGCACUGUAGGUUGGAGGUGGUUUCAAAACACUUCCUCUGAAUUUCAUUAUGGCUCAGAUUCUUUGUGGAAAAGAAAGGGCAUGAGCACUUGCAGUGUUGCUGCUGUUCUGUGAGGCUGAAUGUGGGUUCACAAUGAUGGUGAUAGCAACAGAUCUUGUUUUUAAAAUACUUCUACACAGUUUCAUGAAGCAGUGAAGGGUUGCUGUACUUGCCAAGCAAUCCAGAAUCACCACCUUCAGGAAAUACUUAUGGCAAAAUGGGCCACAUCAGAUGGCUUCGGAGCUGUUCUCCACCCUCUGAAUGCCAUGCAGAUAAGAGAGGAAAGAAAAAGCACUUCUGUAUCCAGUGCUUAGAAGAACCCUUAGCUGGAGGUCAGGGGUGGAGGUGGGGGGAAUGGUGAGCAAAAGGGCAGUGGUACCAAAUGAUCUCUGAAGGUGGUCCUUGAAAUUACUCAGUGAGAGUGAUUAAGCUUUAGGGAAGAGAGACCUCAGAAGAGUGCUGGUUUCAAAAUCUUUCUUUGCUACCUGCUUGGUUCCUGCUGUCUUUCUGGUGAGAGCUACAUGGUGGCUGCAUACUGAAGUCAGGCUGCCCAAGGGACAAUCAGCAGGGACCAUCCUGUGGAUGAGCAAAAUAUCCCCCAAGAAAGAAGAGGUCUCCCCAGGGGUGUGCUUUGGUUUUAGUGCUCCACCAAGAAUGGGAGAACAUUCCUCUCCUUUGGGGUAGCAUCAGGAAAAUUCAUAGUUAUCCCCUAGUUUGGCUCUUCCUUUCUGGUUUAGAUAUGGAGGUCACAGGUGGUAAUUCCAGCUUGUUGUGCCUUACAGUGCAUUUUGUAGGUAGAUGGAGAGCUUGCCCGAAUAGUUUGAUAGAAUCUUCAUACAAAAUGAGGGCCUGCUCUUCCAUGGGCCAUCCCGACCCAGGAUGCUGUGAGCAGAACUUUCUGAAGCAGGUAAUUAUAUGGCCCCAAGGCUUUCUGCCCAGUGUGGGCAAGUGCUCUUGUGUUUGGUGAAAAGAAGCUUUGGUACGUAGCUGAGCCAAUAUUCAGGCAAGGAGCUCAACUCCAAUGAGACAAGGCUAAAGCCAAGUGAACUGUGGGAAUGUUUUAGUGUACUCAAGUUAUUUCCAUUGAGUGGGAACUGAUUGAUUUGUUUACUUAAAGAAAGUAGAUGUUCAACAUAAAGGUGAACAUUUUAAGAUGCUACCAGUUGGUCUUCCUUAAAAUAUGGUGAACCCAUAGCCUCCACUUGAUGACAGAGGUCUGUGCUAUUGAAGUCUGUACCUCUCAUGCCCUUGUGAAGGGAGAGAGCCUUCAGAGCUCUGGAGAAAGCAGGACUAUGCUUGUGGUGAUGCCUUUGAAGAGGGAAGGGCCACUGAUGCAUGAAGCUCCCUCAGUUUCCCUAGCACAGCAUUUUUCUGGAGCUUAUCUAUGCAAUAAGCCUUUCAGGUGCCUGUUUGCCCUGUGGUAGUAGAAGGACAAAGCAGUUUGCCCCAUUACAAGAAACUCCCUCUGCUCUACCUUAUUCAGGAGCAGUCAGGAAAUCUGUCUCUCUCCCCCACUCCCCCAUAGUGCUUUCCUUUCUCCAAAAGCAGCAUGCCACAUUUUUCUCUUACCCCAGCAAUGAAUCUGGGUUAUUGUUUGCUCAAGGUUAUUGAUGCUACCUGCUCUUUCAGCAGGAAAAGCCUCCACGCACAGCUGGGAGAGAGCCCGCAGAUUUUCCCAAUCUCCAUUUAUGCAGAAGACACUGAGCAGAGUGUAAAAGGGAUGACAGAAGCAUGGCACGAUCCUCCUCCUUCCCUCCCCUUCCUGGCCCUUUGAUUCAAGGAGCAGGGGCUGGUUUGUGAAUGAGGAGCUGAAACUCAUUCAGACUGAACGAGUAACUGAUAAAGGAUGCUUGUUAGCUGAAGCCAACCACAAAAAGGUAGCAGUUCUCAGGAGGGGGCUUAUUUCCCAGUGAUUCAUCGGUGCAUAACAGAUGCAAGGAACUAAUAAAAUAUUACAGACGUGCGGAGCUUUGAUCUUUCUGCUCUUUCUUUCGUUUUCCCAGGGGUGAGGGCUGUUGUUGAAGUGAAUGGAGAGGAAAAGGCUAAUCUGGCAGCAGGGCUUGUGGAGAGGAGGUCAGUAGCCCCAGUCCAGAAGCAUUCUUUGGGGCUUGACGGAGAUUGGCCAUAGUGCAUUUGUGUAGGCUUUGCAGCACUUGCUCUGCUUCCCCUUGCACUGAUGUUAACCUGCUUGCAGGUCUGCUGAAGUCGGGCUGGGGCAUGAAUGAACAUUUUGCUGUUAUAUUUCUUUCUGCAAGCUCAGAACUGUGAGCAUGAAAAAGUAAAAUGCAUUUCUGGGUCAAAAGCUCUUGUCUUCCCAACUUCUGUUUCAGCUGCUGUAACUCCCAGAGACCUAACAGCCUUGAAUCUGGGGCCCUCAACAGCCACCAGCUUGGAAUUUAUUUUUUUUUUACUGUGACUGAUCUUCAGGAUGACUACAUUUAAGUUUUGUCUCUGUGAAUGCAAUGAAGAGAGAAAUUUGUUUCCGUUACAGAGAAAUCACUACAGAAGUGGAAGAGGCAGCACUGUUGUAAAAACACAGUGCUUCAGUGCUCCAGGGAACCCAUUGCGGUGCAAGACAGAUGUGAAAAUUGCAACAUCAUGUUAAAGCAAUUCAAGGUGUCAACAAAUGAGUUCCCAUCAGGAAAGCUGCUUUGAGGAUGCACCAGGCUUAUAUUCCAGGUCGUGGUUCAGCUUGUGUUCAAUGAACAGCAAAGCUUGUGGUGAAGGGCUAGGCUCUGAUCCUCUUACUUCACUCAGAGACUUACAAGGACAGAAGCUCCCACUGAAUCGUUUUGAACAACCUUCCUUCUCUAUUAAGUAGAGGAAGUGAAGGAGCAGCUGAAACUUGACCUUGUUUAGAAGAACUCUAAUUAUUUGCAUCCUUCUUAUGGACUGCUGCUGCCAUCAGCUUUCUCUCAUGUUGCAGUUGUGAGUCAUGCUGGCUUUUCCUAAUAUGUGUUCAUCUGGGCAAGUAUUGCCUGUCAUGUUCCAUGAGUACACUCGCUUGAUCAAAGAUCAGAAUUUCUUUCAGCUGUGUUUAUUUCUCUCUUUGACUGCACUUUGUCUCCAUCCAUCUGUCCACCAUAGUCCUAGCAAACAUGACCUAGUGGUUGCUUUUUCUUGAGGCUAACACAGUCUGAAAACAGAGCUACUUUCAAUUUUGUGUGAGGCUAGACCUCUGAAGAAUCUUCUCUUCCUCAUAUCUUUUCAGCAAGAUUUUUUGGGAUGUUUCAAGGGAUGAAUCUCAGUUGUGUUAAUCUAUUCCAAAAUUCUGAGGCCUGGGCUAUGCCAGGAAUGCCUGCACAAAACAGAAUGCCAAAGGCUGUUAUAUCUACCAAGGACAUCCUCUUCUGGACACAGCUAUGCUUUGUGCUGUCAAAAAGUACAGGAGGAAAAUACACCUGAGUAUGGACAUAGACAUGCAGCACAACAUACAUCGUCUUUGUUUAAAAAUAAAAUGAAGUUUUGCUGAAAUAAUCAUAUCAGCAUGUAGGACUGUUGCCAGAGCAGCUCCAUCAGUGAAGGAUCGCACCUCCUUGGAUCCCCAACUAGCAGAGCUGUGCUGGGAGAGAUGCUUGUGCAUCCAUCAUCAGUUGUUGCCUUAUUUUUCUCUUUAAAAGGGUUCUGCUGAAGGGAAGCAGGGAAGAGCGAGAGACCUGGAGUGAAUUCCUCUGCUUCCCCCACAGAAUAGCUCCCAUGGGAGAGGAGAGGUUGAUAAAUGGGAUGUGAAUUUGAGAUACUGGUCCCCUGACAAAAAUGCACCUCGGUUGAAGAGGUGUCAAUCCAGACUGCUUUUGUCUCUUUGGUAUUAUCUCAGGAACAUUAUCCUCAUUACAGCUGGAGAAGAGCCACUUGAGUUUGGCCCUUGGUGGGAGAAGAGAUGCACUGUGUGGUCCCAUCUUUCUACAGCAACCCUGAAGUGAAGCUGCACUUCAAGACUGCAUUGGCUAAAGCUUGCCAGCAGUCAAUUGACUUUCUUCUGUCACCAGCAAAAUCACCCAGUGACACAGUUUCCCACUGAUUAAACUUGCUUGACUUACAGGUUAAUUCUGUAUAUUCUAUUUCAAUGUAUUUAUGGUCACAUAGUCCUAUGCCUCCCUGCUUCUGCCGUGAGUAGCUCACAAUUAGGAACCACGCUUGGGGGAUCAUGGAUGUGGAAUUGAAAGUAUCAGCAAAAACAUCUGUUUUUCACAUCCUUUAACCUCACAGGCAAAUCCAUAGUGUUACCAAAGUCCGUGUAAUCCUCUUUAGCCAUUUUACCUGUGAUGCAAGCUGUUAGCUCUGGAGCCUGCAAGCCAGGAGGCAGUUGUCCAUGCCAUCUUCAACGGAGACUUUUCCAUGCUGCAUCCCCCCAGAUUUGCCCUGGAGCUUGAGAAUCCUGAAGCCCUGUUUUUUUCAGUACACCAAAGUGUUCUCCAGAUCCUACCAUUCUAGGACUUGAAGUCUGAUUAACUGCUGUAUAAGGUCAAUGAGUUCAACUUGUUGUUCAGGCUCCCUGAUGCAAAAUGUGUAUUCAGUUAGCCCUGGUUUGGAUGCCUGUAAAAUUCCCAACAUGGAAACGUCCUAAAUUUGACAAAACUAGAUAAGAAAUCUCAUUAAAGCAGCCUUUUGCAUGCUGUCCCCAACUUUCCUUCCAAAUAAUCUGUCUUUAUGAUAGUCCCCUUGGGAUUUGGGAUUUUCUACUCCUGCCUCUCCCCAGAACAGGAAACAAACAAACAAACAAACAAACAACAAACAAACAAAAAACAUGGAAGCUGUAAAAUGACAAAUGCAAAAAUAAUUUGCAAAUAUGGAUUUCUAUCCCCAAUCUUCUGAACAGCUUUGUUUCACAUCAAAAUUCAGGUCACUGCCCAGUACCUGAGGUUUGUUAUUUUUCAUCUUUGCAACCCAGAGGAUGAUGGAACUAAUGUGAAGUGUUGCCAGCCUCUGUGUGGACACUACUUGGAUCCAUGAAAAUGUGCUCAGUGUUUUCCAUGUAUGAAGAGCCAAAAGAAACCAUCUUAGGGUACCAUGUGAUGUUGUUUGCUUUGACCGAGGUUAACUAAAAUGAAAGAUCUCUCUGAACAUGGACCGUUCAAAAUCCUCCAAGUUAUUUACAUGUACACGUGAAAAAGGAAAUGUGGUGUUUACAAGGGUGGGAGAAGCUGCCAAAAAUAGCAAGCCAAGAAUUUGUCCAUGUUAUUUCUGGGAUGGCACCAGAAGAUGACAUCAGAGAAGAGAAAAAAGCAAGCAGUGUGAGAAGGGGAAGGAGGAUCGAAAGACAAGAACCCCUUAGUAGAAGGAAUCAGUGGAAAUGGGAGUCCAGAAGGUUUCUUAGUGUAAGCAAG